UGAGUGUAUUCUUGAAAGAUGAAGCAAGAAAAUCACCCCUCCCUAUUUUCCAUAAUUUUCGAAAAAAAAGGGUCUCCAUCCCUUCAAAAAAUUUUCUUUUUCUUUUCUUGAUUUGGGGUGAAAAAUGAGAGUUAUGUGAUGUGUAUUGAUGUUUGAUAUAUGUUGUGAAAUAUGUGUCUUGAGAUGUGAUACUUUGAUGGAAGUUAGUUUACCCAAAAAGGGGAACUAUAGAGUCAAUGAGUUAAAUGAUGAAUUGAUGAGGUAAAUGAGUCUAUGAGAUGUAUAUGAUGAUUAUUGAUGGAGUAAUUUGAGUAUAUGAUGUCAAUUGGAGUUUUUGAUGUGAGUUAGUUUACUAAAAUUAGGGAUAUGUGUAUACAUGCCCUUAUUGGUGAAUUGAUGGUUUUGAUGUGGGAUUAAUUGGUUAAAAAUGAAAGAUCUAUAAGUUGAUUAAAGAUUUGUGUGUGUUUGUAAAAAAUUUCAAAGAGUUAGUUUAGUAAAAAUUAGGACUUUCUAGUCUAUGUGUUAUUUAAGUGGUUUUGCUUGAGAUGUAUGUUUUUAAGCAUGAUAGUAGUGUUUUUGUAUAUUUGAUUAAGUCUAUUGUAGGCUAAAUAAAAUUUUGGCUUAUUUUAGUUUGUAUGAAAUUUUGAGUUUUUAUAUGAUGUGAGUUUGAUGCUUUAUAAAAUAAGGUUUAAUUGCUCUAUGAUCAUUAUGAGAACUUUAUCCUUGUUUGUUGAGAGUUUUAUGUUGAUACAUGGAUUUUCUAUAAAAUCUAGUUUAUAUGAUAAAAAGAGAGUAAAUAUGUGAAUAAUGAGUUAUAUGAUGUAAAUGAUCAUAUUUGAGUAUUUGAGAAAUUUCGAGCAUGAUAUUGAAAAGGAAUUUGUUAGAUACGUUCGUUGAAAUGUUUUCUAUGAGAUUUGAGUUGAUGAUGAAAGACAAGAGUCGAGAUUGUAUAUUACGAGUAUUUUGAUGUAUUUGAAUGUUUUUAAGUGCUUUAAGUGCUUAAAAUGAGUUUUGAUGAGUUUGCAUGGUUUAAAUGUUGAGUUGAGCAUGUUUGUUUGUGUGUAUGUUUCGGAGUCGUUUUUCACGACGCGCUGACUCACUGUUUUCGAGGGGUUCUUGAUACCCAAACACCCUGAAAAUUUUAUGGUAAGUAUAUUUGAGAGUCUUGAGAAUACCGGUAAAAUUUCAAGUCAUUUGGACUUCGUUUGCUAUUUUUAUAAAAUGUAAAACUAAAACUGCUACGUUCUGCCGAAUUGUUCGGUGAGUAGCCAAUAGAGUCAUCGUUUCCAGUAGCUUUCCUUAGCAUUCUGGAACCCAAAUUUUUAUGGUUGAGACCUGAGUGUCUUAGCUAAGUUACCACAAAAUUUCAGAUCGUUUUGACAACGUUUACUAUUUUUAAAAAAUAAAACUUUUCGAUUGCUAAAAACUGCCGAAUAUGGUAGACUGUAGUAAAACAGUCAUAUCUCCUAAAAUACUUGGAGUUUUUGAUCCUACUUUUUUUAAAUGAAACUAGACUCAAAGAGGUUUCUUUUGGUAUAAGUUACGACCCCAGGAGAGUUCUGUACAGAGUCUGGUGAGGUUUUAAAGUUGAGUCAGUGCAGAGUAAAGCUUGUUUUCGACUUGUCUAUGUGUGUUUUUAAUAUGCUUAAGUGUUUAUACUUGUUUAUGUGCUUGUUUGCUAUGAGUUUGAGUCGAGUUGAGAGUUAAGUCGAAAAUUGGACGUGUGAAUCCUUAGAAGCCGAGUAUACCUAGGGAUUGAGUUAUAACGGGUAAAUAGACGUUGAGUGAGAAGUUAAAGUAAAGAAGAGAUUGGAUUUGGAAAUUGAGUUCUGACUAAGGUUUGUUUUAUCACAUGAACCUUCGAUGACGAUGACGAUGUGAUGAUGACAUAUGAAGGCCCGAGCGAGACGAAGAAGUAAGUUGCCUGAUUUCUUUCCAGAAUAAGCGAAGGACUUCAGGCUAAGCGAGGAGCGAGAUUGGUCUGGUGCUAGUGGGGGAAACGUUUCAAUCGAUGUAAUUAUGUUUUCGUAUUGCCUUCAUGUUAAUAGAGUCUUGAGGAUUGAGAUACUUUGUUUUCUUUUGAAAUCAAGCAAUUUACUCACGGUUAUGUGUCUUCAUACAUGUAAUCGAUUCGCCUUUUGCUGCGAUA